AUCACUUCUCGGCCUUUUGGCUAAGAUCAAGUGUAGUCUAAAAUUUUGUUAAGAAUGUUUGCAUCUAAAUUCAU
ensembl:snRNA U2 U2 spliceosomal RNA